rnacentral:rRNA from 1 species
CAGUGCCACGGUAAUACAGAGGGUGCGAGCGUUAAUCGGAUUUACUGGGCGUAAAGCGUGCGUAGGCGGCUUUUUAAGUCGGAUGUGAAAUCCCUGAGCUUAACUUAGGAAUUGCAUUCGAUACUGGGAAGCUAGAGUAUGGGAGAGGAUGGUAGAAUUCCAGGUGUAGCGGUGAAAUGCGUAGAGAUCUGGAGGAAUACCGAUGGCGAAGGCAGCCAUCUGGCCUAAUACUGACGCUGAGGUACGAAAGCAUGGGGAGCAAACAGGAUUAGAUACCCGCGUAGUCCCUGUCUCUUAUACC